rnacentral:rRNA from 1 species
GUGGGGAAUCUUCCGCAAUGGACGAAAGUCUGACGGAGCAACGCCGCGUGAGUGAUGAAGGUCUUCGGAUUGUAAAGCUCUGUUAAUCGGGACGAAAGAGCCUAGUGUGAAUAAUGCUAGGAAGUGACGGUACCGGAAUAGAAAGCCACGGCUAACUACGUGCCAGCAGCCGCGGUAAUACGUAGGUGGCAAGCGUUGUCCGGAAUUAUUGGGCGUAAAGCGCGCGCAGGCGGAUCUGCCAGUCUGUCUUAAAAGUUCGGGGCUUAACCCCGUGAUGGGAUGGAAACUACAGAGCUAGAGUAUCGGAGAGGAAAGUGGAAUUCCUAGUGUAGCGGUGAAAUGCGUAGAUAUUAGGAAGAACACCAGUGGCGAAGGCGACUUUCUGGACGAAAACUGACGCUGAGGCGCGAAAGCCAGGGGAGCGAACGGGAUUAGAUACCCCAGUAGUCC